rnacentral:rRNA from 1 species
UACGUAGGGGGGCGAGCGUUGUCCGGAUUUAUUGGGCGUAAAGAGCGCGUAGGCGGUCCGGUAAGUCCGCUCUGAAAGUCAAGGGCUCAACCUUGAAUGCGGGUGGAUACUGCCGGGCUAGAGUCCGGAAGAGGCGAGUGGAAUUCCUGGUGUAGCGGUGAAAUGCGCAGAUAUCAGGAGGAACACCGAUGGCGAAGGCAGCUCGCUGGGACGGUACUGACGCUGAGGCGCGAAAGCGUGGGGAGCAAACAGGAUUGAGAUA